AAAUGAAUUGACGGGGGCCCGCACAAGCAGUGGAGCAUGUGGAUUAAUUCGACGCAACGCGAAGAACCUUACCAAGAUUUGACAUGGGAACUAAAGCCCUAGAAAUAGGGAAAUAUCAGGUCUACACAGGUGGUGCAUGGUUGUCGUCAGCUCGUGUCGUGAGAUGUUGGGUUAAGUCCCGCAACGAGCGCAACCCUCGUCCUUAGUUGCCAUCAUUCAGUUGGGAACUCUAGGGAUACUGCCGAUGUAAGUCGGAGGAAGGUGGGGAUGACGUCAAAUCAUCAUGCCCUUUAUAUCUUGGGCGUCACACGUGCUACAAUGGCCGGUACAAAGAGAAGCAAAACCGCGAGGUCAAGCAAAUCUCAUAAAGCCGGUCUCAGUUCGGAUCGGAGUCUGCAACUCGACUCCGUGAAGCUGGAAUUGCUAGUAAUCGCAGAUCAGCCAUGCUGCGGUGAAUACGUUCCCGGGCCUUGUACACACCGCCCGU
rnacentral:rRNA from 1 species